AACUGAUAAAAAACACUGCUGUCCCAACUACAGACUAAAUGGAGACGAGUGUGAAGAAUGUCCACCGGGCUCGAUGGGAGAAAAUUGUGGAGUGAAAUGUCCCAUUGGAUGGUAUGGCAGAUUUUGUCAGAAUCGAUGUUCUUGUGAGCGACACUUGUCAUGUAACCCUGUUAUCGGAUGCACAUGUGAAGGCAACAAAUGUCAACUAGAUAAACCAUCAACUGUUUCCCCGGCCAAAGGAAUCCCAGAAUCUACCCAAGCACCAGUUAAUUGAAUCAAAACUACGACAUAUCA